UCACUUUUGUUAAUAUAAUAUAUAAUUUUUUAUAUUAAUAUUAAUAUAUACAUAAAAAAGAAAAUACAUGCAUUGUGUUUAAAAUGAAUAUAUAUACGUAUAAAGCCAUAUGUAGUAAUACGACUAAUUAAUCUCUAUUAUAUUUCUUGCUAGAGAGGCGAAAACAAUGUUGUUUCAUGCACUAUGUAAACAAAAAUAAAAACAUAAUCGAUUGAAUUGAUGUGAAUAGCAAUUAAUUGUAGAGAAUUGCAAAUUGAAUCACAUGAAUCACUCAAUUUCCAAUUGAAUCCAGAAUCUAAUGGUUCUAAACUCCUAUAGUUUGACAAAACUAUGGAUAACAAUAAUAAUCUUGUUUCGUAUACUGUUUCAUAUCACAUUGUUACUGUUUGUCCAGAGUUGUUUCUUUAUUUUCUCCAUUUUGGCUCUGUAGUAGACAGUUUGUUGAAUUCUCUAUUUUCGCCAACCCUGUUUGUUUAAUUUUGUUGGGCUCUUCAUUUGUUCAUUUUCUUUAUUUCUGGUUUUUAUCUGUAGAAAAGAAGUAUAUUGUUUCAAAACAACUAUUUUAUCUCCCAUUUUCUUUUUUGUAUUUGAUAUUUUGGAAUUUAUUUUUGUUGUUGCCUUGUAGUAAUCUAUGUUUAGAUUUGAUAAUUUCUUUGUAAUUAAAGCAGUCAACUAUCAAAAUAUUUUUGAAGACAGGGUUUUGCAAUUCUUUUUGCUGUUGACGUCAUAAAACUUAUAAGGCAACACCAUGGUGAACAUACAAACUAUUCCUGUGUGUCUUCUCAAUUAUCAAAGUUAUAUUUCACCAGGAAUGUAGGCAUGAAAUUACUUAAUCUUAAGCUGUCAUCAGAUCUGGUGUUUACUGCUUUUUAACUUUACAUUCCCUCUGAUAUUGCCAUAAAAACAUAAGAACCUAAUAUAUGGAGUUUUGAGGUAUUCCGAACAGUUAGAAUUUUGAUAUUGAUGUUUCAGAUGUAUGUUUUUAUGGCAGUCAUCAUUUUUGUUUAACAGGAAAUCAUCCCUUUGAUUUUGAUCCUUUUAACAGUUCUCAUUGCCUUGCCACUGCAGAAGUUUCAUUUCAGUGUGCAAUUUGUGUCUUGCAAUAUAUUGUUUGAACCACUUAAGAUUGGUUGUUGUGGCCUUGAUAAGUUUCUCUUUUUGCCCAUGAUUUGUGUUGUAAUUCUUCCAAUAUUGUAUCUCUACUCCAACAAAAGCAGCGGAUUGUGAAUGCAAACAGUUAAGAGUGGCAGUGUUGACAGGCUAAACAGAAUCAAGGUUGGCCAACAUGGGGUUUGGUGAUGAAGCAUCGGAGAUCAUUGCAUCUUUAAGGUGUUCUCUUGUUGAAGUUGAAGCUGCAACACAGACAAAUGAUACCAAGCAAUUACAUUGACUGUUGAAGUGAGAUAAAAGAUAUGAUGACCAGUGCCUUGUCUAGAAUAUGACUCUAGAUGUAGCACAUGUUGAAAGAGGGAUAGCGCUUGCCAAUGAUUGGAGGUCAGUUUGCGAUGUUUAGAUGGUACAUAUGCCUUGGUGAAUGAGUGUUUGAUUAGCUCAUAAAAAGUUGUUAUGGCUUUGUUCGCUACAAUGGUUGAUUAGGGGAGAAGUUUUCAAAGAUAGUACUAAAUGGCCCCAAAGGUUUUGAAGCAGAAUUAUGUUAUGUGGGGUUCCUCCAUUUUGAGCAGGUAUUGUUUUUCUUCAUGUAAAGGUUGCUGAUAUAAACAUGGUUAUGGACCUAUGGUGUCAAUAGUCUUAUGAAUUGUAUUGUUGCUUUGGCAAUUCUGCGGGGGGUGAUUGAGACGUAUUCACAAUUUUCAGUUGAAGGUUGGAAGCAAAAUGAAUAUGACUGGGUGAUUUGGAUUUUUGGGUAAGUCUAAAUGGGAGUUUUUGGGCUAUAUUGAUUUGUAGAUGAUGGGGGACUUAAGUUAGUUAGCGUUUGCUGGAUUGAUUUGCCAAGUGAAGAGUUUGCUUUUUGAAUCUAAUUUUAUUUUUAUUUUUAUUUUUUUUGGUAGUGGGUUGGCUGCUUCCCAUGAGCAAACUAAUUGGAUCCAAAAGGGUUGGUUUCAUAUUUUGUUUAUGGGAGGAUUUGAAUUGUUGGAGCUAUUUGAUUUUUCAAUUUGUGUGUGUGUGCGCGCGCGCGCGUGUGUGCAGCUGCUGGUCGUAGCAUUUCAAUGCACCAUGUUAACCCAUUAAAGGUAUCCCAAUUCUUUCAUAGGAUGCCUGGCUUCUAUUGGGAAUUAAGUCGUUUAGUUUACGAAUUUUUUUUAAAAACAUGUAUACUCAUUUCUUAUUGCAAAACAUUUGUUUUGUCAUAUGGUUGCUUGGUCUAAUUAUUAGUUCCCUAUUAUUUGUCAUACAUCAUUUUAGCUACCAUUUAAGUAGGUUUGUUUAUGUAGUGUUGAUUGAAUUUUUUUUCCUUGAGUUGGGCAUAAAUAUUUGUGUUUCUUCAUGGUUUUGAUUUCAAUUAUAUGAAUAUGAAAUGGGUUGAAAAAAAUUGUUCGAUUUAUGAAAUAGGUUACUAUGGGAUGAGAUAAAUCUUUUUCAAUGAAAUGUGUUUCUAUGAAUGGGUGACUUCUAUUUGUUUUUCUGCUCUGAGAUGAGAUAAGUCUUUUUCUAUGAAUGGAUUUUUCAUGUUCAAAAAUUGUCACUCAGUAUGGAAAGUUGAAACAGUCAUUGCGCUUAAUUGCUAUUUACUACCUUCAACUUGGUUUGUUUCUUUUUAUGUUCAUAGAAAUGAUUUUUCAUGCUUUUUGGCACAUUUAUGUGGUUACUAAUUGAUAGUUGAAAAGAGCAUGCAUUUGAAAAGAGCCUAUUAAUCUAAGAUUGGAUUGGUACCAUUUCAUCAACAAAAAUAAUUUUGCUUAGGUAUGUAAGGUUGUGUUUGAAUCAUAAUUACUUUAUAUUUCCCUCAUCUUUUCUUUUUCCUUUUCAAAUUCCUAUCUAAAUUUAAAUUGAUAUUCUCGGACAUUUCAGGUUCUUAGCUGUUGAUUGUUAACUACCUGAGAGAAUCAGUGCCUGAACCCAUUUUGUUUAUUUCAUGUGCUCUAGGAUGAACCCUAAUCAUGUGCUUGAACCUUAAUCUACAUAAAAUUUACAUAAGAUAUCUGAUUAAAUAGAGAUAUUAUGAAAAUUUUCAUAAAACAUCUUACCAUAAAAUUUGUCUUCUAGUACAUCUGGUCACAAUAUGGUAAGAUAUUGAGGCAAAAUUGUUAUUCCAAUGCUAUUUUGGGUUUAUUUGAUUAAAUAGAGACAUUCACUUCUAUAUUAAAAAAUAUUUUUUUUGAAAAAUAGGUGUUUUUUUUAAGAUAUUUUUUAAAUACACAGCUUUUUCCCUCUAGAAGUUCCUUCUAAAUAAAAUUUUAUAUUUUCUCCAAGUGAUAGGUGCUUAAGACAAUUUCAGUCUCAUAUUCAAGUUCGGAAAGUCUUGAAUCUCUUCUUCUAUAAGGUUUCACUUUAAUUUUUAAUUUUUAAUUUUUUUUAGAUUGUUGAGCAUUGGUUGGUGUGCAUUGUUUGUUAUUUAAUUUUGAAUUCUAUUUUUCGGGAUUACAUAGCACUGGCUGGUGUGCUUUAUUUGGUGUUUAGUAAUUUUUUGGUAUUGCAAAGCACUGGAUGGUGUGCAUUGUUUGUUGUUUAUUUUUAAUUUUCAUUUUUAAAAAUUGCAGAGCACUGGCUGGUGUGUAUUAUUUGGUAUUUAUUUUUAAUUUUAAUUUUUUGAAAUUGCAGAGCACUGUCUGGUGUAGUAUUUGUUGUUUAAUUUUGAAUUCUAUUUUUCGAGAUUGCAUAUCACUGACUGGUGUGCUUCAUUUGGUGUUUAGUACAUUAUUUAUUUAUUUAUUGUAAAAUAUUGAUAGAUAUACAAUAGCUUUGGCUAGGGUAUUAUUUGGUAACGAAUGAAUAAUAAAAAUGAAAUAUUUAUGAUUAGACAACAAAUAUAUGUACCCGUGCUUAGGGGUUGUUAUCUUUAAUUCAGUUCUAUAAAGUGUGGUACCAACAAAAUUGUUGGAAGUGUUUUAAAAACAAUAUUUCUUUAUAUUUCUCAAUGUCUUAAGUUUUUGGUAUGUUUUUCGAUAAAUUACAUUUCUAUGCAACUACAUUUUGAUCUCAUUAUUAUUUACAUCGUGCCAUUAGGCAGGAGCAUACCUUUUAUUCUGUACUUUACAUGCCUCUUAUUCUUCACUUUUUCCGUUUCUUCUUCUCAAAAAUCAUUUAACACCAAGGUAAAAAUCUUAUCUCUCUGUUUAUGUACAUGCUCUUCUCAUCUUGAUUGUAACCCUCUCUUUGAAAUUAAUUUUUAUAUUUUAUUAUCUGAUUUGCUACUAAAAUUGUUAAAAGUUCUUUAAGAAGAAUAAUAUUUCUUUAUAUUUUUCCAGUGUCGAUCAAAAAUAAAAAAAAUACUAUAGACUCUACAAAUUUUAACAUGAUGUGUAUAACUUACAGCUACAUUUUGAUUCUAACAUAAUUUACACAGUGCCUUUAGAUAGUUCAAUUUCUCCAUCUGUGAUAUUCAUGCAUAAACGAACUUCUUAAAGUGGGUUGUUAACUAAAAUAUGUUAGGAGGUUGUUAAUUUUGUGUUGAUUAUUUUUUCUUUAUGGCAAUUAUUAAACCUCAUUUUGCCUUACAGUUACCUUUGUCAAAUUUACAUAACCAAACACACCAUUGACCUUCAACCUCUAAUUAUGGACAACAUUACUAUUUUUAGUCACGUAAAUUGUUUUCUUUUAU